UACGGGGGGGGCAAGCGUUGUUCGGAAUUACUGGGCGUAAAGGGCUCGUAGGCGGCCAACUAAGUCGGAUGUGAAAUCCCCAGGCUCAACCUGGGAACUGCAUCCGAUACUGGAUGGCUUGAAUCCGGGAGAGGGAUGCAGAAUUCCAGGUGUAGCGGUGAAAUGCGUAGAUAUCUGGAGGAACACCGGUGGCGAAGGCGGCUUCCUGGACCGAUACUGACGCUGAGGCGCGAAAGCUAGGGGAGCAAACGGG
rnacentral:rRNA from 1 species